CUGUCUGUCUCUGUCUCUCUUUUUUCUCCUUUCUCCCCACCUCACCUCUUAUUUUCUCUCCUGCCUCCCUCCCUGUCUAUCUUUCUCUGCCUCUCCCUCUCUAUUUCUUAUUACCAUUGUCAAUGCAGCAUCAUUAAGAGCCCAGGCGAGUUACCUUUGGCCUCCAAAGUUGUCAGUUGUCUCUCUCCCAUUCCUCUUUCACUGCCUUCUUCAUGAAUCUUCAGGAGGACUGAGGGCUGUCUUCAAUGUCUCUGCCAGGUGGUAAACUCCUCUGCUUGCAAGCAGUGAAUGUCAGAAGGAGGAGCUGAAUGAUUUCCUUCAGGUGCAAGACUUGGUAGAAAGCA
rnacentral:lncRNA from 1 species